UGUUUGCUCUGCCGCACUGUGUUUCAAGAUGAAUGAUAACUGUAGUAUUUGUAGAGAUCCAGUUCCUUCUGAUGAUGAAUUUGCACUUUACUUCAUCAAUAAAUUUGAAACGGAAGAAAGAGAGGUGACAAAAGAAACACGUUGUGGAGUGUUUGGCUGUUACCCACCAUGGCUGCAGAUACUGGCCAGCAAGAAGAGCUAUGUGAUACUGUUUGGUUUAGUAGGCAUGAACCAGCUGGCCAUUGGAUCAUAUGCUGUUGCCACCAUCACCACACUGGAGAAAAGGUUCAAAAUACCGAGUCAGACUUCAGGGAUAAUCACGGGAUCAUGGGACUUUGGGACAAUCUGUUCAUCAAUAACAAUAGCCUACAUCGGUAGUAAGGGCCAUAAGACUCGAUGGGUGGCUCUAGGCACUCUGCUUGUUAGUGUGGCCUGCUACUCACAACUACUGCCUUACAUUCUGUUCGGACCAGGGAGUGAUGCUAUAGCCAUUGCUCAGUCAUCCAACUCUACUGAUAAAACUUCUAUCGCCUCCAGCUGUGGCAUGGGUGCGUUGUACAGUGAGGAUUGUUAUGAUGGCAACACAUCCUCAACUCCAGCCAUACUCAUCUUCAUGUCACAGUUUCUGCUGGGUGUUGGAGUUUCCAUGUACUGGACCCUAGGGAUAGCAUAUCUCGAUGACAAUGUUAGAAAAAAUCAAACUCCAUGGCUCAUUGCAAUUUCAUCAACAAUCCGCCUGUUCGGGUCACCAAUAGGUUUUUGGGUGGCAUCUAAGGCAGUGGAAUUUUACGUAGACCCCACUCUCUCGCCCCCCAUCACUGAUAAGGAUCCGCGGUGGAUUGGAGCAUGGUGGAUGGGCUGGAUUCCUUUUGGUAUAAUUGCAUCCAUUUUCUCAGUUCUUUUAUCGCUUUUCCCCCGAGUGCUUCCAAGAGCUUCACAACGGCUGAAAGAACAGGCUCGAGUUGAAGUUAAAACAGAAGAAAAAACAGGAAAUAACACUUUUGGUGGAUUUUGUCAGAUGCUCAAGCGGCUGUUUAGAAAUCGUCUGCUACUUUGUAAUACUUUCAGUUAUGUCUUUUACAUGUUUGGAGUGUUGUUUUACUAUGUAUACAUGCCAAAAUAUAUGGAAAGUCAGUUCCACAUGACAGCUUCAGAUGCAAACAUGAUUACAGGAAACGUAGGACUAAUUAGUUCAGCAAUUGGUGUGAUCGCAUCUGGUUAUGUGGUGUCAAGCUUCAAGCCAUCAGCCAGAAUGAUUACAGGAUGUAAUUUUGGUGUAGAAGCUCUUGGAGUGAUAUGUAUGAUUGUUUAUGCUCACCUGGGCUGCCAAGGGAACAAUUUACAUGGGCAAUGGGCUGCAGAUGGAAGCUGGGACCUGAAUCAACAGUGCAAUAGUGAAUGUAACUGUGGUCCUUCAGUGCCUUAUGAGCCAGUAUGUGAUCUAACUAGGUCUGUCACAUUCUUCUCCCCUUGUCAUGCUGGCUGCUCUGAAGUCGUCUUCUAUGAGGGUGUAAAGAUGUUUAAAAACUGCAGCUGUAUCCCAGAAACAUUCACUGCUGUGGACUCGUUCUGCCCUGUCGACUGUCAAUAUGACCUCAUAAUAUUCCUUGUCAUAUUCUGUAUUAUGAGCCUCUUAUCGUCCAUGAGUCAUUCUGGUCUCGUCAUCAUCCAGUUCAGUUGAUCCAGAGGAUAAGUCCGUUUCUAUUGCGCUGUCGGAGAUGAUGUGCAGUGCCCUGGCAUACAUUCCAGCACCUAUUAUCUAUGGGUAUCUGAUAGACAAAUCUUGUAUGGUGUGGGGUCA
rnacentral:misc_RNA from 1 species